rnacentral:rRNA from 1 species
GACGAACGCUGGCGGCGUGCUUAACACAUGCAAGUCGAACGGUAAGGCCCUUCGGGGUACACGAGUGGCGAACGGGUGAGUAACACGUGGGUGAUCUGCCCUGCACUUUGGGAUAAGCCUGGAAAACUGGGUCUAAUCCCGGAUAGGACAACGGCCUUCAUUGGUUGUGGUGGAAAGCUUUUGCGGUGUGGGAUGGGCCCGCGGCCUAUCAGCUUGGUGGUGGGGUAAUGGCCUACCAAGGCGAUGACGGGUAGCCGGCGUGAGAGGGUGUCCGGCCACACUGGGACUGAGAUACGGCCCAGACUCCUACGGGAGGCAGCAGUGGGAAAUAUUGCACAAUGGGCGCAAGCCUGAUGCAGCGACGCCGCGUGAGGGAUGACGGCCUUCGGGUUGUAAACCUCUUUCAGUAGGGACGAAGCGCAAGUGACGGUACCUAUAGAAGAAGCACCGGCCAACUACGUGCCAGCCGCCGCCAUAA